CUGCUGGGUAAGUGUCCUGUUGCCUUCUGGGUGAGCCUCACUCUGCCUCAAGUUUGAAGCAACACACAACAUAAUUCUGAGAGACUUUUCUUUCAUUUGCAGGCCCCCAAGCAACAUGGAGAACAGAUCUUUGUCUCAUAACAACAUUUUGGGGUCUGAAUCACUCCUGGAAAACUCCCCAAAUAGAUUUUCUCUGGACAACUUCAAUGAGCAACGUAGAACCCUUCAGGUGAUCCUCCAGGAUCCCAUUGUUGAUCAGGACCAGAGCCCCCAAAGUUUGCCUGAGACAGAUGAGGAAGAAGAAAUCCCUGUGGCAGCAGCACCGAGACCCUCUGUCGAGACACUGGCUUCAUCCAUGGGUGCCCCUCUGGAUAGCUUCAAGCUCCCUGUGGGUUUCGAUACCCCUCCCACUCUCCUGGGCUUCUUGGACACGUCUGCUGCUCGACACAAGAUGGCAGUGAACCCAAGAAAGCAAAAAAUCAACAGGCAACUGGUGGUAACAAGGAGGCAAAGAGGGGUCAAGUCAUAUGCCCCAAAGAAUGAAGAAGAGAAGAACAAAAGGGAACAAGGUGACAGGGACCAGAAACCUAGAGGUCCCUCCUCCUUAGACCACAGCAGUGACACACCGAUUUAUGCCAGGAUCAUGCCAGACCUAGUUCCAAGAACCAAUGCCGUCAAGAAGCAGGGCACCCUGAGAGCCAUGGCUCCUGGCACUACCUAUUGGCAAGAGAAGGCAAGCUCUUCAGAAGCCUCCCAUCCUGCUUUCCAGGCUGCCACUCGACCAAAAGUCCCCUAUAAGAAAAUGGGUCCUUUUUUCAUCAAAGAAAAUCGAGCAUCAAGGCCUUUCCAAGAUUUUUCCAGAGAACCCAUGUCAUCAGCCUUCCCCAGAUGCAAAAUCUUUGGGCUGCCCAAACCUCCACCAACAGAACAAAGAUCAUCUUGGGAUAUCCCUUCCUAUCUUUUUGGCCUAAGAAGGAGCAAUGAAAGCAUACCAGAAGGAAGAU
rnacentral:lncRNA from 1 species